rnacentral:rRNA from 1 species
AGAAUCAACGCUGGCGGCGUGCCUAACACAUGCAAGUCGCACGAGAAAGGGUAGCAAUACCUGAGUAAAGUGGCGCACGGGUGAGUAACACGUGGAUAAUCUACCUCCGAGUGGGGAAUAACUGAGAGAAAUCUUAGCUAAUACCGCAUAACACUUACGAGUCAAAGCAGCAAUGCGCUUGGAGAGGAGUUCGCGGCCGAUUAGUUAGUUGGCGGGGUAAUGGCCCACCAAGACGAUGAUCGGUA